AAACUACUCCCUCCGUCUCAAAUUGUAGAUCGUUUUGGAUUUUACGUGUUCAUCGGUGUUUGUAUGCAUCUAGACAUAUACUAUAUUUAGAUGCAUACAAAUAUCUAAAAGCGAAAACGAUCUACAAUUUGGGACGGAGGGAGUAGAUU
rnacentral:pre_miRNA from 1 species